GCCGUUGAAGUUCCCUGUGCUGUGAGGGAAAUGGUAAGAAGCCUGCCACACCAAUUUGGACUGGCCUAGCCCUCCGUCCAAGAUAGACAUGAUGCUGAUUCCAGGGAUCAACCUAUGAGAAACUGUUCUGUACCAUCUUGGAUCUUCAGAAACAUGAGUCUAGCUGAAAAGAUAAGAAGGUGUGGAUAUAAUUAUGGCUGAGCAUCUGACCAUAUCAAAUUUGAUACAGUCAAAUUGAAGACUCAGGGUGGUAGUCACAGAACAAAUGGUCAAAACAAAGAUCUUACAAGGUUAGAAGCAUAGGACUUUAUGUUAGGCCAUAUUCACCCCAAUCCUGGGCAUGUGUAGCUUGCUAUUUGGUUUUCCUGGCAAGCCUGAGAAGGUGGUGGUUAUACAUAUACACUACCGAGUCUCCAGGUCACACCUAUACCUCUAAGAGGGUGCAUUUUGGAACAUUCAAGAUGAUACAUAGGGUGGCUGGAGAGACAGCUCACUGGUGAAGAACACCUGCUGCUCUUCCAAAGGACUCCAGUUCAUUUCCCAUCACUCACAUCAGGCUAUCAAAAGGGAUCGUGACUGAACACAACCAGGACAUCAGAAUCUCUGGCUCUUGUCUUUUAGACUUCGAAGGAGGAUCAUUACUAUUAUUUACUCUACGCCUGCCCAAGACCUCCCUCAGUUCCUUGUCUGCAGGCCUAAACAUCUGAGCAGAGAAAAUAAAAGCAAAGAGUUCCCUAAAAUGCCACCAUACAGAAGGUUCAGGAAGUAAGAAACCUAAAGGCCUAAUUAUGCCUCUGAGAGAAGUGGUUUGGCAUCUCCAUCCCUGGAGGAAUGAUGUAGCACACACCAAGGCUUUAUGAACAGACAGCUUCCAGCCCAGGUUACAAAGCCUUGGGGACUACAGCAGAAAGCCAGCAUGUCAUAAUCACAAGGGUGACGAAAAUCACUCUCUUCCUGUCUCUGAAUGUGACUCCGUGAGAUGCUCAGCCUAUCACAAAAUCUAUCCCUGAGUACUAUCUUCAGCACCCUUUAGUACCAAUGGGUACUGGGUGAAUGGAAAACUUCAAAGAAACUGCAGAUCUGAGAGAACAUUUUGGAUUCACGGGAGUGCCUGCUGCUACAGGUUAUCAGCAGGAUCCCCACAUGAGGAACAGAAACGAUUUCCCCUCAAACCCUUUUUCCUGUACCUUAAACCAAGCUCCUCUGUGCUACAAGGUGAUAGAUAAUCCAUGAGAGAAGAUCGUGGAAACUUCAGGAAACAGGGAGGCCCCUGCAAUCAAGCACAUCCCUGGCACCUCUUCAGUGGAAGCUCCUCUGACACCCAUCAAGUUGGUCGUCAUUAAUGCCUUAGUCCCAUCUUCAUUGGCUCCCUGGCUGCACCCUUUGGCUUUAAACUCUCCUAAAGAUGGCUGUCCUGUUAUGAAGGCUGCUUGCUAACUGUUUAAAGUCUGCUCGGAUCUUCUAUUAUGGGCAUUCUGUCCUGUCAACUCAUCUGAUGUCAACCAGCAUGAACCACGUUACUAGCUUGCAUUGCCUCUUGGUCACAUAAGCCCCUCGAACUUUUAUCUGUAUAUUGUCCUAGAGAACAUGAGGCACGAAUCCUCUCUUUUCUUUAUCUCCGUGCACAGUUUCCCGAUAGAGAGAAGCAGAGAGCUCAGUGGGUACAGCUGAAUUGUUGAUUUGGAUGAAACUUGAACUUUAAAGGUUGGGGACAAGCAAGGGAACGCUCCAAAGAUGGCAAGAGAAGCUGGCGGGCAUGCAUGUGUGAGGGAUGGAUAUUAUUAAGACCAAAAAUACCCUGUACAGACGUCAUUCCUUUAAUCAGAGAAGCAGGAAAUAAGUUCCAAGUGAGCAAUACAUGGGAUUCGGGCUGACGAGGACAUGGGGAAACGUAAAUGAGCUGAGCAGAAAGGCUUCAUCGAGAAGGGGAACAACUCUAUGAGGAGAGGAGAAUCGCCGGUGGACUCAUUUUGAUGAGAAAAGAUGCCAGUAGCCCUUACUGUGGUCCCGGUCAUGUUGCUGAAGGUUUCCUGCCGAAGGCUGUGUAGAUUCCGAUGCAGGUCAGAGAAGAGUCUUCUGGAGAAACCUGAGCAUCAAAUGAGCAGGGACACUAAAGACAGUGAAUUCACCAUGGCAUCUAACAUGUGCUCAGCUGGAGGGAACAAGAGCUUGCAAUCAAACUCUCAUAAGUACUGA
rnacentral:lncRNA from 1 species